GGUUAAGCGACUAAGCGUACACGGUGGAUGCCCUGGCAGUCAGAGGCGAUGAAGGACGUGCUAAUCUGCGAAAAGCGUCGGUAAGGUGAUAUGAACCGUUAUAGCCGGCGAUGUCCGAAUGGGGAAACCCAGUGUGAUUCGUCACACUAUCGUUAACUGAAUACAUAGGUUAACGAGGCGAACCGGGGGAACUGAAACAUCUAAGUACCCCGAGGAAAAGAAAUCAACCGAGAUUCCCCCAGUAGCGGCGAGCGAACGGGGAGCAGCCCAGAGUCUGAAUCAGCUUGUGUGUUAGUGGAACGGUCUGGAAAGUCCGACGGUACAGGGUGAUAGUCCCGUACACCAAAAUGCACAGGCUGUGAACUCGAAGAGUAGGGCGGGACACGUGGUAUCCUGUCUGAAUAUGGGGGGACCAUCCUCCAAGGCUAAAUACUCCUGACUGACCGAUAGUGAACCAGUACCGUGAGGGAAAGGCGAAAAGAACCCCGGCGAGGGGAGUGAAAAAGAACCUGAAACCGUGUACGUACAAGCAGUGGGAGCACCUUCGGGUGUGACUGCGUACCUUUUGUAUAAUGGGUCAGCGACUUAUAUUCUGUAGCAAGGUUAACCGUAUAGGGGAGCCGCAGGGAAACCGAGUCUUAACUGGGCGUUAAGUUGCAGGGUAUAGACCCGAAACCCGGUGAUCUAGCCAUGGGCAGGUUGAAGGUUGGGUAACACUAACUGGAGGACCGAACCGACUAAUGUUGAAAAAUUAGCGGAUGACUUGUGGCUGGGGGUGAAAGGCCAAUCAAACCGGGAGAUAGCUGGUUCUCCCCGAAAGCUAUUUAGGUAGCGCCUCGUGAACUCAUCUUCGGGGGUAGAGCACUGUUUCGGCUAGGGGGUCAUCCCGACUUACCAACCCGAUGCAAACUACGAAUACCGAAGAAUGUUAUCACGGGAGACACACGGCGGGUGCUAACGUCCGUCGUGAAGAGGGAAACAACCCAGACCGCCAGCUAAGGUCCCAAAGUCAUGGUUAAGUGGGAAACGAUGUGGGAAGGCACAGACAGCCAGGAUGUUGGCUUAGAAGCAGCCAUCAUUUAAAGAAAGCGUAAUAGCUCACUGGUCGAGUCGGCCUGCGCGGAAGAUGUAACGGGGCUAAACCAUGCACCGAAGCUGCGGCAGCGACACUAUGUGUUGUUGGGUAGGGGAGCGUUCUGUAAGCCUGCGAAGGUGACCUGUGAGGGUUGCUGGAGGUAUCAGAAGUGCGAAUGCUGACAUAAGUAACGAUAAAGCGGGUGAAAAGCCCGCUCGCCGGAAGACCAAGGGUUCCUGUCCAACGUUAAUCGGGGCAGGGUGAGUCGACCCCUAAGGCGAGGCCGAAAGGCGUAGUCGAUGGGAAACAGGUUAAUAUUCCUGUACUUGGUGUUACUGCGAAGGGGGGACGGAGAAGGCUAUGUUAGCCGGGCGACGGUUGUCCCGGUUUAAGCAUGUAGGCUGAUUAUCCAGGCAAAUCCGGAUAAUCAAGGCUGAGGUGUGAUGACGAGGCACUACGGUGCUGAAGUAACAAAUGCCCUGCUUCCAGGAAAAGCCUCUAAGCAUCAGGUAACAUCAAAUCGUACCCCAAACCGACACAGGUGGUCAGGUAGAGAAUACCAAGGCGCUUGAGAGAACUCGGGUGAAGGAACUAGGCAAAAUGGUGCCGUAACUUCGGGAGAAGGCACGCUGGUGUGUAGGUGAAGUCCCUGCGGAUGGAGCUGAGACCAGUCGAAGAUACCAGCUGGCUGCAACUGUUUAUUAAAAACACAGCACUGUGCAAACACGAAAGUGGACGUAUACGGUGUGACGCCUGCCCGGUGCCGGAAGGUUAAUUGAUGGGGUUAUCCGUAAGGAGAAGCUCUUGAUCGAAGCCCCGGUAAACGGCGGCCGUAACUAUAACGGUCCUAAGGUAGCGAAAUUCCUUGUCGGGUAAGUUCCGACCUGCACGAAUGGCGUAAUGAUGGCCAGGCUGUCUCCACCCGAGACUCAGUGAAAUUGAACUCGCUGUGAAGAUGCAGUGUACCCGCGGCAAGACGGAAAGACCCCGUGAACCUUUACUAUAGCUUGACACUGAACAUUGAGCCUUGAUGUGUAGGAUAGGUGGGAGGCUUUGAAGCGUGGACGCCAGUCUGCGUGGAGCCAACCUUGAAAUACCACCCUUUAAUGUUUGAUGUUCUAACGUUGGCCCCUGACCGGGGUUGCGGACAGUGUCUGGUGGGUAGUUUGACUGGGGCGGUCUCCUCCCAAAGCGUAACGGAGGAGCACGAAGGUUAGCUAAUCCUGGUCGGACAUCAGGAGGUUAGUGCAAUGGCAUAAGCUAGCUUGACUGCGAGCGUGACGGCGCGAGCAGGUGCGAAAGCAGGUCAUAGUGAUCCGGUGGUUCUGAAUGGAAGGGCCAUCGCUCAACGGAUAAAAGGUACUCCGGGGAUAACAGGCUGAUACCGCCCAAGAGUUCAUAUCGACGGCGGUGUUUGGCACCUCGAUGUCGGCUCAUCACAUCCUGGGGCUGAAGUAGGUCCCAAGGGUAUGGCUGUUCGCCAUUUAAAGUGGUACGCGAGCUGGGUUUAGAACGUCGUGAGACAGUUCGGUCCCUAUCUGCCGUGGGCGCUGGAGAAUUGAGGGGGGCUGCUCCUAGUACGAGAGGACCGGAGUGGACGCAUCACUGGUGUUCGGGUUGUCAUGCCAAUGGCACUGCCCGGUAGCUAAAUGCGGAAGAGAUAAGUGCUGAAAGCAUCUAAGCACGAAACUUGCCCCGAGAUGAGUUCUCCCUGAGACUUUAAGUCUCCUGAAGGAACGUUAAAGACGAUGACGUUGAUAGGCCGGGUGUGUAAGCGCAGCGAUGCGUUGAGCUAACCGGUACUAAUGAACCGUGAGGCUUAACCUU
rnacentral:rRNA from 1 species